UAUUAGAUGAGCUUGCGUCCGAUUAGUCUAGUUGGUGGGGUAAAGGCCUACCAAGGCGACGAUCGGUAACUGGUCUGGAGAGGAUGAUCAGUCACACUGGAACUGAGACACGGUCCAGACUCCUACGGGAGGCAGCAGUGGGGAAUAUUGGACAAUGGGGGCAACCCUGAUCCAGCCAUGCCGCGUGUGUAGAAGAAGGCCUUCGGGUUGUAAAGCACUUUAAGCGGGGAGGAAGGCCUGAUGGCUAAUAUCCAUCGGGAUUGACGUUACCCGCAGAAUAAGCACCGGCAAACUUCGUGCCAGCAGCCGCGGUAAUACGAAGGGUGCGAGCGUUAAUCGGAAUUACUGGGCGUAAAGCGCGCGUAGGUGGUUAAGUAAGCGAUCUGUGAAAGCCCCGGGCUUAACCUGGGAACUGCAGGUCGAACUGCUUGGCUAGAGUAUGGUAGAGGGGUGUGGAAUUUCCUGUGUAGCGGUGAAAUGCGUAGAUAUAGGAAGGAACAUCAGUGGCGAAG
rnacentral:rRNA from 1 species